AUUGAACGCUAGCUACAGGCUUAACACAUGCAAGUCGAGGGACCGGCGCACGGGUGAGUAACACGUAUCCAACCUGCCCUUUACUCGGGGAUAGCCUUUCGAAAGAAAGAUUAAUACCCGAUAUAAAGGAUGUGGCUGCGUUCCAUUAGGUUGUUGGUGAGGUAACGGCCCACCAAGCCUUCGAUGGAUAGGGGUUCUGAGAGGAAGGUACCCCACAUGGGAACUGAGACACGGUCCAAACUCCGACGGGAGGCAGCAGUGAGGAAUAUUGGGAAAUGGGCGUUAGCCUGAACCAGCCAAGUAGCGUGAAGGAUGAAGGCUUAUGGGUAGGAAACUUCUUUUAUAUAAGAAUAUGUAUUAUAUGAAUAAGGAUCGGCUAACUCCGUGCCAGCCGCCGCGGUAAUAC
rnacentral:rRNA from 1 species